rnacentral:rRNA from 1 species
GGGACACGUGGUAUCCUGUCUGAAUAUGGGGGGACCAUCCUCCAAGGCUAAAUACUCCUGACUGACCGAUAGUGAACCAGUACCGUGAGGGAAAGGCGAAAAGAACCCCGGCGAGGGGAGUGAAAAAGAACCUGAAACCGUGUACGUACAAGCAGUGGGAGCACGCUUAGGCGUGUGACUGCGUACCUUUUGUAUAAUGGGUCAGCGACUUAUAUUCUGUAGCAAGGUUAACCGAAUAGGGGAGCCGAAGGGAAACCGAGUCUUAACUGGGCGUUAAGUUGCAGGGUAUAGACCCGAAACCCGGUGAUCUAGCCAUGGGCAGGUUGAAGGUUGGGUAACACUAACUGGAGGACCGAACCGACUAAUGUUGAAAAAUUAGCGGAUGACUUGUGGCUGGGGGUGAAAGGCCAAUCAAACCGGGAGAUAGCUGGUUCUCCCCGAAAGCUAUUUAGGUAGCGCCUCGUGAAUUCAUCUCCGGGGGUAGAGCACUGUUUCGGCAAGGGGGUCAUC